CUUUCAACAACGGAUCUCUUGGUUCCAGCAUCGAUGAAGAACGCAGCGAAAUGCGAUAAGUAAUGUGAAUUGCAGAAUUCAGUGAAUCAUCGAAUCUUUGAACGCAUAUUGCGCCCCUCGGUAUUCCGGGGGGCAUGCCUGUUCGAGCGUCAUUACACCCUUCAAGCGUAGCUUGGUCUU
rnacentral:rRNA from 1 species